rnacentral:lncRNA from 1 species
AUGCUGUUACUAAAUGCACACAGGGCAGCCUAUGUCACAGAAUCCACCUGGCUUCAGGAGCAACCAGUAGCCUUGUGCAUCUCCCGCUCAGUCAUUCAGCAUACCCAGCUAUUAAUCUCCACCGGGGCAUUUGUAGCUUGGUGGAGAAAAAGAGAUGCCUGUGCUAUGUGCUCCUGGCUGUGGAGAGCUUCUAAUCAUAGGUAUGAAAAUAACCCCAUGUGUGGGGAAAUUCCUGGAGCCAUCACAGUGUCUCCUCAGUACCCUCGGUGGGGAGUGAAGAACAAGGAAGACACAGCAGUGUUACAGAGUCCAGGGGAAGGAAAAUCCUUGAAUCCUCUCUUCUUUUCUUUUCUUUUCCUUUCAGUACAGGGUAUUGAUUUAGUCAUAGCCCUCAUUACUUAAUCCAAAUUUGAUAUAAAGGAACAGUGCUCAAUAUUUACAUUUUCUUCAUGGUUUAAAUUUUAGAUUUAUGAAACUGUAAAGUGUGUAAAGGGCAUAGUCCAACCACCGCCUUUAUGCUGACUUCUACUAUCAGAAUCUUGCUCUGAUUCUUGUAUAAGACAGUUGCUUUCUGCUUGAAAAAUGCCAGGCAAGAAUCUCAUCCAAUGACAAGGCCCUCUUUGGACUCCUCUCACUCGUAGUCCUUUCCCCUUUGUUUGCACUUGAAAUCUGCUUGUCUCCAGAAUCCUUUGUUGAUUUUACACUCAGAAGCAAUAUGCUGUGACUCUAUGAGAGCGCAAAAGUUAAUUGAAGAGAAAUAUGUAUACCUAGUAUGUGUCCAGUUCGAAUGGUUCCAUUUACCUCCCUACUCUUUGAACUGCGAAGUGAUCUCAUGCCAACCAAGCUCUUCAUCCAAGAGGUGCUGCCAUUCACCAGUGUUCUGUGUACAGCAUGAACCCUGAGAGGGACGACACACUCCUGAUAGAAUCAGACUGGAUAACUGAGAAGCAUUAUCAGCGAUUUUUCUUGGACCAAGCAUUCUUUUUAUAAAGAGCUUCCUGACUCACUCACAUACCAUAUCUUUGGGCAUGAAUGUCUACAAUAAUGUCAUAGCUUCCAAUGCAAUUUGGGGGGCAGUACUGGGGACUGAAUUCAGGACUUUUGCAAAGAGUUACCUCUCCUCUAGUCUUUCUUUUCUCUUUUCUUUUGUUUUCUUUCUUUUCUUUUUUUUUAGAUAAAUCCCUGAAUGGCUCUGGCUAGGUACAAAUUUUUGAUCCUCUUCUAUCAGUCUAGUAUAAUUUUUAAAGCUAUUGACUUGUAAACCAAUUGUGUAGGGUCAAAUAAAUUACAUCCUUGAUAUCAUAGAAUGCUUUUACUCACCCACUCAAGUUUGUAUUAUUGGGCUGGGGAUAUAGCUCAGCAGCACAAGCACCUGCUUGGCAAGUGCAAGAUCCUGAGUUCGAUUCCCAGUACAAAACAAAACAAAACAAAAAACACAUCAAGUUUGUAUUAUCAUGUUCUUGUUGUGCAUUUUAAAUUUAUAUAAAAAUAUUAGAGAUACAUUUUACUUUUUCUAUUGCUUUCAUAUGCAGUACUUUUACAAAAAUCUAUGUAACUAGGUAGAUAUUUAAUCUGCUCUUCUUAACUAUGGUAUAGCAUGUUAGCAAAUCCAUUUAUGUAAGUCUAGCCCGGUCUUCUCUCACAGUGGUAGAUAUGCUACCUGCCUCUACUAAUUUUCACCAACAAUAAUGCUGUGAGGAACUUCUUUUUGUCUUUUUGAGAUAGGGUCUCACUGUAUAGUUCAGGCUGGCCCUUUAAAUUACUUUGCAGUCCAGGCUGGUCUUGAACAUGCAAUGACCCCCCUGCCUCAGCCUUGAGAGUGCUGGGAUUACAGGAGUACACCACCAUGCUUGGCUAUGUGAGGAACUUUGUUUAACCUUGUGUACAAAUUUUGGGAUUGCAGGAUAAUUGCACAUAAAUAUUCAAAACAUGACUUAAUAGUAUAAGAUUGUUGCCCAGAGUGACAAAGCCAACAUUUGAAUGUAUGAAAGUCUCUUAAUUUUAUGUCCAAAUCCUCCCUAACAUUUGGUGUUUCCCAAGUUUCUAAUAUAUUUAUUUACUGUGGUACCUAAGAUUGAUUUCAGGCCCACACUCACACAUGCUAGGCAAGUUUACCACUACCAGGGUAGAUCUGCAAUCCUUUAUAUUUUUGAAACAUUUACUUUGAGACAGGGUCUUGCCAAGUUUCACAGGUUUUCCUGCUACUGGAUAUCCUCCUGCUUCAAACUCCCAAGCAGCUAGAAUUACAGGUUGUAUCACUACGUGGAGCCCAGUUUUCAAGUUUUUCCCAGUGUAAAGAAAAAUAAUUGUUAUUGAAAAAGUCAGACUCCCCAAAUGUAAAGACCCAAUCCAAAAAUGGGCAUCUGAGAUGAAUACACACUUCUCAGAUGAAGAACUACAAAUGGCAAACAAAUAUAUGAAAAAUUGUACAACAUCCCUGGUCAUUUGAGAG